rnacentral:rRNA from 1 species
GAUGAACGCUGGCGGCGUGCCUAAUACAUGCAAGUCGAGCGAACAGACGAGGAGCUUGCUCCUCUGACGUUAGCGGCGGACGGGUGAGUAACACGUGAAUAACCUACCUAUAAGACUGGGAUAACUUCGGGAAACCGGAGCUAAUACCGGAUAAUAUAUUGAACCGCAUGGUUCAAUAGUGAAAGACGGUUUUGCUGUCACUUAUAGAUGGAUCCGCGCCGCAUUAGCUAGUUGGUAAGGUAACGGCUUACCGAGGCAACGAUGCGUAGCCGACCUGAGAGGGUGAUCGGCCACACUGGAACUGAGACACGGUCCAGACUCCUACGGGAGGCAGCAGUAGGGAAUCUUCCGCAAUGGGCGAAAGCCUGACGGAGCAACGCCGCGUGAGUGAUGAAGGUCUUCGGAUCGUAAAACUCUGUUAUUAGGGAAGAACAAAUGUGUAAGUAACUAUGCACGUCUUGACGGUACCUAAUCAGAAAGCCACGGCUAACUACGUGCCAGCAGCCGCAGUAA